GUGAGACAGUUUGGUCCCUAUCUGCCGUGGGCGCAGGAGAUUUGAGAGGAUCUGUCCUUAGUACGAGAGGACCGGGAUGGACGAACCUCUGGUGUUCCAGUUGUUCCGCCAGGAGCAAUGGCUGGGUAGCUAUGUUCGGAAAGGAUAACCGCUGAAAGCAUCUAAGCGGGAAGCCCCCCUCAAGACAAGAUCUCCCUGGAACUUCGGUUCCCUGAAGGUCCGUCGAAGACGACGACGUUGAUAGGCCGGGUGUGUAAGUGCAGUAAUGCAUUCAGCUAACCGGUACUAAUUGACCGUGAGGCUUGACCAU
rnacentral:rRNA from 1 species